rnacentral:rRNA from 1 species
GACGAACGCUGGCGGCGUGCUUAACACAUGCAAGUCGAACGGAAAGGCCCCCACCUUGGUGGGGGUGCUCGAGUGGCGAACGGGUGAGUAACACGUGGGUGAUCUGCCCUGUACUUCGGGAUAAGCUUGGGAAACUGGGUCUAAUACCGGAUAGGACCAUGGUUUAGUGUCUCAUGGUGGAAAAAUUAUUGUUUUGGUGCAGGAUGAGCUCGCGGCCUAUCAGCUUGUUGGUGGGGUAAUGGCCUACCAAGGCGUCGACGGGUAGCCGGCCUGAGAGGGUGGACGGCCACAUUGGGACUGAGAUACGGCCCAGACUCCUACGGGAGGCAGCAGUGGGGAAUAUUGCACAAUGGGCGCAAGCCUGAUGCAGCGACGCCGCGUGGGGGAUGACGGCCUUCGGGUUGUAAACUCCUUUCGUUAGGGACGAAGCCAUAC